rnacentral:misc_RNA from 1 species
UUUAACCCUGGACGGAUUCAAAACUUGUUGGAAAUAAUUCUUGUUCUUGCUUGUUUUGUGCUCUCGUCGUAUAUAUAACGCAUCUCGAAAACGAUGUUUUAUCGUUUCUUUAUCAAUAUCCAAUAUCUAAAUUAACUCAAAUUGAGGCCGGCGAGGUGUUAAUAACGAUAAAUUCGUUUAUAACUCAUAAACCUUUAAUAAAAGCUUCGAAUAUGUUUACUGUUGGUACACCUCUUCUUGCAUCUGUGAGUAAUAAAUAAUAAUAAUAAGAUUUUUUUGUUUGUUUAAUGAUGUAAAUUUUAGAUUUCAGGAAUGGUUAUAACUUACCUUUUGGUGGCAAUUCAAUUCCAUGUAACUUUACGUAAUAAGUAAUACAGUAAAACCUCGAUAUAUCUCAGUAUAUUUAUUAUUAUACUCAGUAUAUUUGGGUUUUAAUUGUUAUUCAGCGUUGACGUCAUGAAUCAAGCUAUGCACCUGAUCCUCUUGGAUUCUACCGCCCUUGGUAUAAAUAUAAAGCCAAGUAGACUAAACGCAAUUAAUUUGUGUGCAU